UGGGGGGCCUACGGGAGGCAGCAGUGGGGAAUUUUGGACAAUGGGCGCAAGCCUGAUCCAGCAAUGCCGCGUGAGUGAAGAAGGCCUUCGGGUUGUAAAGCUCUUUUGUCAGGGAAGAAACGGCUGCGGCUAAUAUCCGCGGCUAAUGACGGUACCUGAAGAAUAAGCACCGGCUAACUACGUGCCAGCAGCCGCGGUAAUACGUAGGGUGCAAGCGUUAAUCGGAAUUACUGGGCGUAAAGCGUGCGCAGGCGGUUUUGUAAGUCUGACGUGAAAGCCCCGGGCUCAACCUGGGAAUUGCGUUGGAGACUGCAAGGCUUGAAUCUGGCAGAGGGGGGUAGAAUUCCACGUGUAGCAGUGAAAUGCGUAGAGAUGUGGAGGAACACCGAUGGCGAAGGCAGCCCCCUGGGUCAAGAUUGACGCUCAUGCACGAAAGCGUGGGGAGCAAACAGGAUUAGAUACCCUGGUAGUCCACGCCCUAAACGAUGUCUACUAGUUGUCGGGUUUUAAUUAACUUGGUAACGCAGCUAACGCGUGAAGUAGACCAGCC
rnacentral:rRNA from 1 species